UACGUAGGGGGCAAGCGUUGUCCGGAAUCAUUGGGCGUAAAGCGCGUGUAGGCGGCUCGAUAAGUCUGCUGUGAAAGUCCAGGGCUCAACCCUGGGAUGCCGGUGGAUACUGUCGAGCUCGAGUCCGGAAGAGGCGAGUGGAAUUCCUGGUGUAGCGGUGAAAUGCGCAGAUAUCAGGAGGAAUACCAAUGGCGAAGGCAGCUCGCUGGGACGUGACUGACGCUGAGACGCGAAAGCGUGGGGAGCAAACAGG
rnacentral:rRNA from 1 species